UGCAUGAUUGUGUGUGUGUUUUGCCAUUUUUACUGUUGAAGUGUGAUUCAAAUAUCCGUACAUCGUUCCGUGAGCUGAGUGGACAUAUGCACCAUUCUUCCAUAACGACAGUUAAUUCAAAUGACGGAAGUUAGUGUGUGACAAAUUGAAUUACCAAAUACAAAAAUUCAAGUCAACCUAAAUUGGGAGGAUGUCCUGCUUGGCCAACUUGCAGCGUGCUGAAUGUGUGCAGACCUCGAUGUGCUGAGUGCGCGUCAGGGACGCGGUGUUCCGCGUUCCUGAAAUACAACAUGGAGAAAACAAAGCACGCCAAGACACUGUUCACCUGGGUCAGAUCCUACUGUGGCGCGGGAGUCAGUCAGUCAGUCAGUCAGCAUCGUAAGACACAAGACGAGGAGCAAGCAAGAUUCACGACGACACAGUUCUUCACUGACUCGUCAACUCACUGACUGCAAAGUGCGUCUGUGCAGAGAAGACAACACGUGUGGUGCCGCCCUCCCGUGACUACUGAGGAGACAGGAAAGAGAAGAAACCAGGAAAGAAACAGCAAGAGGAGGAAGAGGAGGAGGAGGAGAAGGAGGAGGAAGAGGAGGACGACGACGAAAAAGAGUUGGGGAUUAAAGGGGAGGAGGACGAACAAGAGGAUGUACUGUGGUAAGAGGAGGAGGAGGAAGGCGUAAAUAGAAUAAAGGAAUAAAGAAAUACAAAGAAGAGUACGAAUGUAUAGGGAAGAAUAACGAAAUAUAUUGUCAAAUCAGGAAAAAAAAGAAGGAAGAAAAGGAAAUAUAAAGGGAAUAGAAGCAAGAGUAGUGAAGCUUGAGAUAGAAUAAAAAAAAGAUAUGAAGGAGUAAUGGUUUAUAAGAAGGAGUAAGGAAAUAUAAGGAAGAAUAAUGAGAAGUACAGAAGGAAAAGGAUAUAUAAUGAAAGAAAAUAGCCGUAGAUAACGCCUAUGAAAUUUUACUGGCACACAUUUCUUUCCUCCUCUCCUUCGAUUACCUUCCAACGUGGCAUACCCUUCCCUUAGCUAACCCAGCCAUUAUCCAAGAGGCAGAGAGGGAGAAGAUACAGUGCUCACCUCCUCACCACGCCCUGCAAUAAAGAGCAACACCUCCUCCUUCAAUGACCUCAUCCCAACACAUCAAAGACAAACCCACCACCACCACUACCACCACCACGACCACAACCACCAACCACGACCAUAACAAUAAUAAUGACCAAAAUCAUAGCCCCUCCACAAUUCCCGCCACAGUCAGAGCCGCACAGAGUCACCAGCAGCACCUCCAAGCCAGCUCUCCUUGUCCCAGCGGCAGUCCUCGUCCCCCCUUACCACCACGUCGCCUUCACCAGCACCACCCUCUCCCUCCUCCACGCCACCGCCGCCACUCCAGCACGAGACCGCCGCCCUUAACCCUCCGAGGAACGUGCUGCCCCAGGGCCGUCUCGACCAGCUGCAGGCGGAGGUGAGCAAGCUGGAGCAGCGGAGCGAGCAGCUGGAGGCUCGGGUAAAGAGUUUCUUCCGCCAGCACCAUGCCCUCGCCGCUGCCACGGACCAGAUCAACCUUAAACUGGAGGCGCUCAACCGACAACACAAGACCCUCUCGUCCUCAUAGUCUUUUGUGUGGCUGCCUCGAGGAACACUGCACGUACACCGCCUCUCCUGAGUGUGUUAUGGAGAUCCUUAAUGUUGAGGCAUACCUGUGUUUCCUGGUGUGAAAGAGAUUUGUGUGGUGUAAUACAGGUGCCGACACCGCACUUACCCACAAGAACUGACAAAAUAUCAUCGUUUUUAUGCUUACUAUAAUUUUUCUUAGGAAGAGUCUUGGUGCGGCUGUAUGUGUGUGUGUGUGUGUGUGUGUGUGUGUGUGUGUGUGUGUGUGUGUGUGUUCCCUGGUUCAAAACAAACUUGUGCAGAGUGAGACAGGUGGCCACACAGCACUCACCUACGAAAACUUAGGGAAUAUUGGCAUUUUUAUGAAGAGCGUUUUUAUAAAGAGUCCUGGGACCGCUGCGUGUGUGUCUGUGUGUCUUGACGCAACACGAACUUGUGCGGAGUAAGAUGGAUGGAUGCCAGAACAACUUUACCCGACGGAAACUUAUCAAACAAUGUCAAUUUUAGGCUUCAUCUUUAUUUUUGUAUGAGUCAGUGUCGCAGAGAAUGCCUCAGAAAGGUUACGUGGACCACACACAUUUUUUUUUACGGCUAGUUUUAUGUUUUGUGGCCGCUCGGAUACAAUGUAUUUCUGGGAACAGGCUCGUCAAGACCUCGCCGCGGGGUUGCGUGGGCGCGGCGGGGAGUUCCCUCGCUCCUUCCUUCUCUCGCCAAGCUCGCCUCUCUUCACCCAACACUCGAUAUUUUGAGGAAAAUGGAGCGGCUACAACAAAGGCAACAAAUUUUCAGGGGCAGGGUGUAUUGGUAAAAAAAAGUAGGGCUUUCAUAAAGACGGGCUGGAACUUAUUCAAAUGAGAUCCAAACGAUGGAAAUUAACAAAAAAAUCUUAAUACAGGUAGUUAAGCGUGAUUAAAAUAGCAGAUUAAAAAAAAAAAAAAAAAAAAAAAAACAAAAAACAGAA